rnacentral:rRNA from 1 species
CAGCAGCCGCGGUAAUACGAGGGGGGCAAGCGUUGCUCGGAAUUAUUGGGCGUAAAGGGCGCGUAGGCGGUUUGGCAAGUUUGGUGUGAAAUCUUCGGGCUCAACUCGAAGUCUGCACCGAAAACUGCCGGGCUUGAGUAUGGGAGAGGUGAGUGGAAUUUCCGGUGUAGCGGUGAAAUGCGUAGAUAUCGGAAGGAACACCUGUGGCGAAAGCGGCUCACUGGACCAUUACUGACGCUGAGGCGCGAAAGCUAGGGGAGCAAACAGGAUUAGAUACCCGUGUAGUCCAUGUCUCUUAUAC